rnacentral:rRNA from 1 species
CAGCAGCCACGGGAAUACGGAGGGUGCGAGCGUUAAUCGGAAUUACUGGGCGUAAAGCGUACGCAGGCGGUUUGUUAAGUCAGAUGUGAAAUCCCCGAGCUUAACUCGGGAACUGCAUUUGAAACUGGCGGGCUAGAGUCUCGUAGAGGGGGGUAGAAUUCCAGGUGUAGCGGUGAAAUGCGUAGAGAUCUGGAGGAAUACCGGUGGCGAAGGCGGCCCCCUGGACGAAGACUGACGCUCAGGUACGAAAGCGUGGGGAGCAAACAGGAUUAGAUACCCCGGUAGUCCCUGUCUCUUAUAC